UGGAAGACACGCUUAAUGUCUCUUCUUACAAUCACCAUCACCAUGAGGAUGCCUCCGCCGCCUUGGAUAUGGAACCCCACCAACACUACUUGCUUGAUAAUACUACCAACAGUCAUUCCCAUUUGAUUCCCUAUCUAACUCAGGACCUUCCUUAUGAUCAGUCCCAUUGGGAAAGUUUCAAUGUGCUGCCAUCUUCUUCAUCCCCAGAAGCCGCUGCUGCUGCCGCCGCCGCCGCCGCCGCCGGUGCUUACACUCCUACACCUGACCUUCUCAGCCUUUUCCAUUUACCUAGAUGCUCUUUCCUCCCUAAUCCCUCCAUUUCCUUUGAAACCACACCUGGCUCCCCUUCUGUUGUGUACGACCCACUUUUCCAUCUCAACCUGCCUCCUCAACCUCCUGUUUUCAGGGAGCUGCUGCAGUCUCUGCCGCAUGGCUACACCGUUCCAGCUGAUGACAAAGAUGCCGCUGGGGUUGGAGGACUUUAUCAUGAUGGGGACAAUGGCAUAAUUCAGUUCACCAGGGACAUCUCUAUGGCAGGCCGUGCCAAAGACAGGGAUAAAGCUGGCAAAACUACCAAACACUUUGCCACUGAGAGAGAAAGGAGAGUCCAUCUAAAUGACAAGUACCAGGCUUUAAGGACAAUGGUCCCUAGUCCCACCAAGGUACAUAACCAACCACUUCAUCCUUAAACAGCCUGUUUCUUUUAUGAUAAUUGCACUAAUAAUGUUUCAUUCUUUUGGUGUUUGUUAUCAUGUUUCUUUGGUGGUGGGGGAAACAUAAAUUUCAUUGCCUAUAACCAAGAAUGAUAGAGCAUCCAUAGUUGGAGAUGCUAUAGACUACAUCAAGGAACUUCUUGGAACUGUUCGUGAGCUUCAAAUACUGGUGGACAAAAAGAGAUGCGGCCAAGAAAGGAGCAAAAGGCUUAAGACUGAAGAUGCGGCUAGUGCUGCUGAUGCAGGGGAUGUUGAGAUCAAGUCUUUAGGUGAUCCAGAACAAUGCUAUAAUACUUCCUUGAGGAGUUCUUGGCUUCAAAGGAAAUCUAAGGAUUCUGAGGUUGAUGUACGCAUCGUUGAUGAUGAAGUUACCAUCAAACUUGUUCAAAGAAAGAAGAUCAAUUGCUUGCUGUUUGUGUCCAGACUCCUUGAUGAGCUUCAGUUGGACCUCCUACAUGUUGCUGGUGGCAACAUUGGUGACUAUUACAGCUUUCUCUUCAACACCAAGGUAAACAUCUCCCUUACACAUACAUAUUGUUUUAUCCAGCAUAUGUAUGUAUGACAAUUUUGAGUAUAUUUUUGUUGAAAUGGUCAUAAUUCCAUCGCUCCUGUCCUCGAUGCAGAUAUACGAAGGCUCUUCGGUUUAUGCUUGUGCCAUAGCCAACAAGCUCAUCGAUGUCGUGGAUAAACAGUAUGCAGCUGCUCCACCAACUAGUAGUACUUCUCUCUAGUUUAGCAGUGAUAGAAGGGGUUUCAUUUUUUAUGUUUCUGUUUCAAUGGAAAUGAACAGCUUCGGUUGUUGAGUUAUCAAGCAUUUCUUUGAAUAGUACUGUUAAUCAAGGAUUCCAUGAUGCUACUUUAUUUUCAAGUUAUUGAUAUAUAGAUGCACUAGAUAUGGUUUUUUAUUUCGGUACAGUCUAACUGUUCAUUAUUGCUUUAGUUUUAUAUAUAUACCACCAGCAGGGGUUAGAAAUUAAGAGAAAGAAACAAAAACAAUUUGACAAACUGUGAUCCUCCAUUGAUUUUCCUGGUGAUAGCAACCCACAGUUUUAGUGGUUAAAGAAAAAGGAGAAAUUUCUAUAGGAACAAUAUUCCAAAGUGAGGUAUGUUUAAUCGUUACUGUUUCUAAGAAGGCUCUCUUUGUUUCCACAUUCUGAAUUGCUUUGAAAUGCCAAAACAGUCGAUUCUUUCACUUUCAGUGGUGAAAUGGAUGUUGAGGAAUGAUGGGCCAUAUUUCUGAAUUUGCUGAAUGACUGAUUUUCACUUGACUUAGGUAGGUCUCUCUUCUCUUCUAAGGAUGUGAAUGUUCCACUCAUAAUAUAUGUAAUAUAUGUGUCGAAACACCUUUUUUGAAAGGUUGACUUUAUAUUUUAAAAAUGGAAAUAAGAGUGGCCACCAAUCUUUUUUUUUUAUUUAGGUGUAACUAGAUCACUUUGUAAUUCAAUCAUUUUAAUAAAAGUUUAAAUUUAUUAAAAUGAUGAUUUUUGGUCUACAAAAUUUAGAAGACGAGUUCGUGAGUCGGUUAAGCACGAGUUAGGAUUAGCACCCUCAAUACGCCUAAAAUUGGUACCUAGUUGAUUACUUGGCGUCUUUAGUGUCUAAAAUUAAAAAUAAGAGAUUUAAGAUACGAUCUUUUAUUAUUUAACACGAAAAUGGCUUUAUUUUGAGUUAAUCGAGAAAAAGUAUCACAUCCCGUAAGUUAAGACACAAUGCCUUAAAUUCUCAAAACGAGAAUAAACAUGGUAAAAAAUUUACUUUUUUUUUUAAUAUUUAAUUAUCUCAGUUUUAGAAAAAAGCCAUAUUUCGUAAGUUAGGAACACGACUUUUCUUAAUUCCCGAAAAUAUUUUAAUUAAGAUCUCAUAUGCUUUAAAAAAAUAUUCGGUUGUCUUGGUUUAAAGAGAAAGUCGAAUCCCGUAAGUUAGGGCACGACUUCUUGGAUUUCCAAAUACGGAACAUUGACUUAAUUUUGAAAAUUUCCUUUUUAUGUAUCAGGUAAAAAUUAAUGUGACAUGAAUUGGUUAUAAUAAUGGUAAUAAUAUUAAUAAUCAAAUCGCAAUAAUAAGAUAAAUAAAGUAACUUAAAAUAAAAAUGAAAAUAGAAAAUGAAGAAUUUAAAAAAGAUAAAUAAACAUAACAUGAAGAUAUUAGAAAUAAUAAAAGAAAUAAUAAAACAACAACAACAACAACAACAACAAAAACAUUAGAAUUAAAAUAAUAACAACAAUAAUAAAAAUGCAUAAUUAAAAAAAGAGUAUGAAUAAUCUAUUUUUUUAAUGUAAAAGGAAGAAGAAAUAAUAAUAAAUAAAAUAAAAAGUUUGUGGAAAGGUUGAAAUAAAACAGAUUUAAGGAUUAAAUCGAGAUUAAAGUGAACUUAAAAGCAGAAUUUUAAAUAAUAAAAUAUAAAAAUGUAAAAGUAUUUUAAAAAAUAAAAUAAAAUAAAAUAAGGACUGAAAUUGAAAGGCAAACAAAAUUUUAGGGGAGGAAUCGAGAAUUAAAAUAAGGUGAAGGACCUAAUUGUAAUGCACUAAUAAAAAGGAGGGACCAAAAAUGGAAAAUAUUCUCUGUCUUUCAAAACGCACAAUUCCAAUAUGGACUAAAAUGAAACAAUGCAAAAAUCACAGGGUAAAAUUAAAAAGAAAAAAAAAAGAACAGAAUUAAAUUGAAAAUGGGCAAAAAAGCGGAAGGACCGACAGCACAAAUAACCCCAGCGCUAGAAAACAUGCUGAUAUUAGCCGUGCAGGUCGGGUCUUGGGUUGGUCCCAAAACGACGCCGUUUUGGUAUUAAAGGGCCUAAGUGAAACAACGUCAUUUUACAACUGCUAUUUAAAUCAAAGUUUUUUCAAAAUUUUCACUUUAACCUUGUUUUAGAGAAAAAAACUCUAAAAGCUCUCUCCCCUUUCUCUCAAAGCCACUAGGUCUAGUCAUCAAACACCACCGUGGCUCCGCCACGGCCAUCGGCCAUUGGUGGCCGCCAUCCAUGGUGGCCGGAGUUCACCAAAAACCCCUGUUUUAAGCGCUCCGAAGUGUAAAGCCUAGAUCUGAGCUAUUUUUCACAAAAACUCAACCAAAAAGAGAAAAACUCAAAAGAAUCCCUUUGGUUUCUCUUCUAUUUUACCGAAGAGAACUGUCCAUCAUCAAGAACGAUGACCUCCUCCACUCGUACAGUAGGAUUCAAAACGUACUAGUAAGUUUUCUUCUUCUUCUUUUUUUGUAUUUUUAUGCCUAAAAAAAUAAAGAAACAAAUCACCUCUUGAAAAUAUGAUCAAUUCUUCUCUGUAUUUAUUUGUAUCUUUUUGUCCAUAUUACAAUUUGGUGAAGGCUUUUAUAGCCAGUUUACAACUGUUUAGCCACUAUUUUCUGUCUGUUUCCUUUGCUCUAUUUUUUGUCUGUUUUCUUUACAGGUACCGGAGUUAACGAAGGUAGAAUUUUCCAUUCUUGUGCAAUAAGGCAGUCCUUGGGCAGUGGGCACACUGACGGAGACACGUGGAGUGCGGCGCCCGUUAGGCUUUUUUGAAAAUGUUUAAACAUUUUGGGCCACUAGGCCUUCAAUUUUUUUGGGUUGUAAUUUUACUUAUUUUUUGGGCUUGUAAUUUGUAAUUGGGCAUUUAAGAUUUGGACAUUUUUGGUUUAUUUUCUGUUUUGGUUUUUUGGCGGGCCGGGUAAAUUUGGGCUUUUACAGCUGCCCCUUUUUGCUCAUUGUCGUGUAAAGGGAAUGAAGCAAAGAAAAAAAAGGCCAAAUUUUCCUAGUCUUGCAGGGUCUCGACCUUUUUGGCGCUUCUCUUUUUCAAGCAACUCCAUUCUAACUCACUGCCACUUCAGAUGUAUAAGAUUUGUUGCUUCAAUCUUCAAUCUACUCCACUGCAACUUCAGACAGAUAAGAUCUAUAACUUCAAUCUACUCCUUUGUAACUUCAGAAAGAUAAGGUUUGUGGCUUUUAUUUGCUCUAAUGCAACUUAAAGGAGAUAAGAUUCGUCAUAAUGACUUCAAUCCAUCCCAUUACAAUUUCAGGGGUAUAAGAUUUAUGGUUCAAUCUACUCCACUGCAACUUCAGGGAGAUAAGAUUUGUUAUUUUUAACCUGCUCUACCGCAGCUUCAGGGAUAUAAGGUUUGUGACUUCAAUCUACUCUACUGCAACUUCAGGAAGAUAAGAUUCGCCAUAAUAACUUCAAUUCAUCCCACUGCAACUUCAGGGGUAUGGGAUUUGUAACUUUAAUCUACUCUACUACAACUUCAGAGAGAUAAGAUUUGUUAUUUUUAACUUGCUCCACUGCAACUUCAAUAAGAUAAGAUUUAUAACUUCAAUCUGCUCCGCUGCAACUUCAGGGAGAUAAGAUUUGUAAUUUGUAGCUUUAAUUUGUUCCACUGCAACUUCAGGGAAAUAAGAUUCACUAUCUUCAGUCUGCUCCACUACAACUUUAGAGAGAUAAGACUUGCAACUUCAGCCUGCUCCACUACCUUCAGGGAGAUAAGGUUUAUAGCUUUAAUUUGCUCUACUACAACUUCAGAGAGAUAAGAUUUGCUAUCUUCGAUCUACUCCACUUCAACUUCAAGGAGAUAAGAUCUAUAACUUCAAUCUGCUCCACUGCAACUUCAGGGAGAUAAGAUUUGCCAUGAUAACUAUAAUCCGUCCCACUGUAACUUCAGGGGUAUAAAAUUUGUGGUUCCACUGAUUUGUUACACCAUUCUCUAGGAAACAUGACCUAUAGAAUCUAUUUCAUGGGCCUAUUUAUGCCUGGUGAUUAGGAUGUCAUUAUCAGAAUGAAUCAAAUGCUCCUAACUAGAUGUGUAUGAACGUUAUUUGCAUGAAUGAAAAAUGUCAUUUUUCUAGAAUAAUCCCUUUUUAAUGCUUAGGUUAACACUGCUCGUUGUUCACUAAGGUUCUAUCACUAACGUAUUACCCUGCCCUCUUGUUCAGUUGGUAUUUUUGACAGAGAACCCGAAGAAAUAAUCACAAUUUAGACUAUUAUUUCUCAAAUGUUUCCAACCCUUAAGUUUAGUUAGUUCUGAAUAGUGUUUUUGUUUUCAUAUCUUUGUACUAUUUAGAAAACUUUUCAGAGCAAUAUGCAGAACUCCUUUUUCUUGAAUAUUAUUAGUCCAUUAAUCAUUAUUUCAAUAAAAUAUGCUUGAAAAAGAUUAUCACAAUGGACAAAAGGAAUUUUAUUGAGAGCAAAGCUUGAAAUGGAUAAAUUAAUCAAAGAUAGCAAAACAUUUCUAGAAUACAAAAUGAAUAAGAUGAAAAUAAGUGCCCCAGAUAUCAUAGCAUGAGCUUUUUCGCACUAACUGCUCGAGGACUCUUUUGAACUUAAUAUAUGUUUCAGAGAUCCAAAAUACUUUGUUUAUGCACCAAGACAUAGCAUCCCUCCUCCUUGUUAAUUCGGGGAUAACAAGACUACCAUAUGCCCCAACUUUGAUCAAAAUUUGAAUUGCCCUUUUUUGCAUUUUCAACUCAAAAUCCCUUUAGUCUUAAGGCGCCCUUUGCGGGCUUUCGCCUUGGCCUCUUACCCCCUUUUUUUUAGGUAAAGUACUUUUUGACUAAAUCUAAAUUCACAGGAUUGGGCAAGCUUUUACCAUUUAUCUCAAUCAAAAUCAACGCUCCUCUAGAAAAGGCAUUCUUUAUCACAUAAGGUUCUUCCCAGUUUGGCAUCCACUUUCCUCUGAAAUCCUUUUGUAUGGGCAGGAUCUUUUUCAAUACUAGAUCCCCCUCAUAGAAUUAUUUGGGAAGAACCUUUUUGUUUUACACUCGCAUUAUUCACUUCUGGUACAUCUGACCAUGACGGAUGGUUUUCAACCUUUUUUCUCUAAUCAAGUUUAGUUGAUCAUAUCGGGAUUGGAUCCAUUCUACUGUAUCUAACUUCAAUUCUACCAAAAUUCAGAGAGAAGGAAUCUUGACUUCAAUGGGUAAAACCACCUCUAUUCUAUAAACCAAAGAGAAAGGCGUUGCCCCGGUUGAGGUUCUAAUAAGCAUAGAGGGCAAAUGAUAACUUCUCAUACCAAUCUUUAUAAGUCUUAGUCAUUUUUCCCACGAUCUUCUUAAUAUUCUUAUUCGCUGUCUCCACUGCACCAUUCAUUUUUAGGCGAUAUGGUGACAAGUUGUGGUGUUUGAUCUUAAAUUGGCUACAGACCUCCGCUAUCGUGCUAUUUUUCAAAUUCAAUGCAUUGUCAGAUAUAAUCUUUUCUGGCAUUUCAUAUCGACGUAUGAUCUCUUUUUUCAAGAAUUUGCUAACUUUCGACUUUGUGAUGUUGGCAGAAGAAGUGGCCUCUUCCCACUUGGUAAAGUAAUCAAUGACCAUGAAGAUGAAUCGGUGCCCAUUAGAAGCUUUUGGUGAUAUCGGCCCAAUGACAUCGAUGCCCCACAUGGAGAAAGGCCGUGGAGAAGUCAUGACAUGAAGAGGUGAGGGAGGUACAUGAAUUUUAUCUCCAUAAAUUUGACACUUAUGACAUUUCUUGGCAUAACUGAUACAAUUCUCUUCCAUGGUGGACCAAAAAUAUCUAAAUCUCAUUAUCUGCCUAGCUAUUGUAAAACCAUUAGCAUGUGUUCCGCAAACACCUUCGUGGACUUCUUCCAAGAUUCUCUUAGCCUCAACAACGUCUACACAUCUUAGUAACACCUGAUCCUUUCUCCUUUUAUAUAGGAUCUCUCCAUAUAAGACAUAGUCACUGGCCAGUCUUCUCAAUGUCCUUUUAUCAUUCUCAGUUACUUGGUCAGGGUAUUCAUGAUUCUUCACAUAUCGUAGUAUAUCGUGGUACCAAGGGUGAUCGUCCUCUUCUUUUUCUUCUUUGAUAUUGUAACAAUGAGCCGGAGUCUCAUAAAUACUCAUUUGAAUAGGCUUUACAUCCUCUUGUUUGUUCACUUUGACCAUCAAAGCUAAGGUAGCCAAAGCUUCAGCCAUCUGAUUUUCAUCUCGUGGAAGAUAGCAGAAGGUGAUGUCAUCAAACUUUUCAAUUAGCUCCAGAACUAGCCUUCGAUAAUUGAUCAACUUGGGAUCUCUCGUCUCCUAUUCACCUUUGAGUUGAUAAAUCACUAGUGCAGAAUCUCCAUAUACCUCUAGCACUUUGAUAUUACGUUCUAUGGCUACACGGAUGCCCAUAAUGCAUGCUUCGUAUUCUGCCAUAUUAUUCGCGCAGUCAAAAUCCAAUUUACUAGUGAAUGGAUAAUGAUCUCCGUUUAGGGAUACCAGGACUGCCCCAAUUCUAUUACCCACAACAUUUAAGGCUUCAUCAGAGUUUAGCUUUUAAGGAUGACCUUCUUGAGAAUCUUCUUCAGUGGUUGCCAUAUACAUUAGAUCUUUAUUCAGGAAAUCAAAGUUCAAAGGCUUGUAAUCUUCUAGAGCUCUGCUGGCUAGAAAAUCUGUUAUUGCGCUCCCUUUUAUAGCCUUUUGAUUUACAUAGGCUGUAUCAAAUUCGAAAAGCAGAAUUUUCCACCGAGCCAUUCUUCCAUUCAAAGCAGUCAACUCCAUCAUCUACUUUAGAGGAUCGAGUUUUGAGAUGAGCCAAGUUGUGUGGUACAACAUAUACUGUUUCAGUCUUCGAGUUGUCCAGAUCAAGACGCAACACAACUUCUUGAUUGGCGAAUAUCUUAUCUGACAUUCAGUGAAUUUUUUACUGAUAUAGUAUAUUGCUCUUUCUUUUCUUCCUGACUCAUCAUGUUGACCAAGCACGCAUCCCAUAGAAUUCCUGAAUACUACCAAGUACAAUAUCAGCGGCCUAUCUAGGCCAGAGGCAUCAGUACUGGGGCAUUAGACAGGUAAUGUUUGACCUUAUCGAAAGUCUUCUAACACUCCUCAUCCCAAACGUGUGGAUUAUGUUUCUUAAGGAGACGAAAAAUGGGGUCGCAUUUCUCAGUUAGUUAUGAAAUGAACUAGGAGAUGUAAUUUAGUUUUCCUAAGAAACUUCACACUUAUUUUUGAGAGCGUGGUGCAGGCAACUCCUAUAUAGCAUUUACUUUAUCUGGGUCAAUUUCGAUCCCCUUUUCAUUAACUUCAAAUCCUAACAAUUUUCCUGACCUAGCCCUGAAAGUACAUUUUGCUGGAUUAAGCUUCAAUUGGAAUUUUCUCAUUCUUAAGUACAAUUUCCUCAAGACUUGUACAUGCUCCUUCUCUGUUCGGGACUUUGCUAUCAUAUCAUCGAUAUAAACUUUGAUUUUUUUGUGCAUCAAGUCAUGAAACAAGGUUACCACAACUCUUUGGUACAUUGCUCCAACGUUUUUCGGUCCAAAUAGCAUAACUUUAUAGCAAAAUGCUCAUCACAUAGUUACGAAUGUCAUCUUUUCCAUAUCUUUAGGAUGCAUCUUAAUCUGGUUGUAUCCAGAAAAACCAUCCAUGAAGGAGAACAGUGAGUAACAUGCCGUAUUGUCUACUAAGGUAUCGAAAUUAGGAAACGAGAAAUUAUCUUUCGGGCUGGCUUUGUUUAAAUCCCUGUAGUCUACACACAUCCAUACUUUCCUAUCUUUUUUAGGGACGAGGACAAUAUUGGCUACCCAUUCUGGGUAUUUAAUCACUUGUAAGAAACCAGCGUCGAAUUGCUUAUUGACCUUUUCUUUUAUUUUCAGCAAGACGUCGGACCUCAUCCUUCGGAGCUUCUGUUGAACUGGCUUACACUCUUCCUUUAUGGGGAGCUGGUGUACCAUGAUAUCAGUACUUAGACCAGGCAUGUCUUAAUACGACCAUGCGAAGAUAUUUUUGAAUUCUUAGAGUACUCAACGAGAUCUUUCCUUGUACCUGUAGUGAUGCAAGUUUCGAUUUUCACCUAUUUUUUUCUUGUUCAUCUCCUAAGCUCACAAUUUCCACUGACUCCUUGUGAGGUAGGAUCUAUUUCUCCUCUUGUUCUAUCAUCCUUAACAAAUCAGGAGAUAGGUUACAAUCUCGAUCACCUUCAGAGUCCUGAGGUUCCUCUAAACACAUAUCUUGCUUAAAAAUGAGAUUCUAAGUCAGUAGCAGUGUCGUUCAUAUCAUUGAUAUCUGGAGACCUGUUAUAGGAACGAAUGAAGACCCAAAGAACAAAUAAAUUUAAGGAUAGUUAUCAGUGUGGUAUGAGUAAUGAAUGAAAUGGAAAGAACAAAAGAAUGUUUGCCAAAAUGAGACACAAAUAUGCAUUUUAUUGAAAAAAAAAUAAUGGACAUGUGCCUUUUUCACAAAAGGAUUCCUGUUGCUCUUAGGCUUAGAGUAGUAGGUAUGUUCUGAAUAUUACUUUGAAAUGGUCCUAAAUCUAGUUGUUCAAACACUUCUAGGGAUGUAGGAACAAAUUCCUGAUAGCUUUUUUAGUUUCCUUUCUAAACCCUCGAUAUUUUCAAAGAAUUCCAACCCUUUAUUAUCCAUCAGGCUUUGUACUCGAGUUUUGAACUCGACGCACUUUUGGAUUUGAUGAAAUUUAUUACAUACAAUGAAAUGUAAUGUUAAUGAAUGGAAAAGAUGCAUGCAAAAAGGCGUUGAUUCUAGUUCAAUUCUAUUAGAACAACUUCACUAGAAAACAAGUUUCUUUACAUAAAGCGGAUACAUACACGGUCUCAUUUUCACACUUAAAACCUUAACUUUCCCAAGAAAUAAGGCCAAUUCUCGGCCUCGAUCCGACUCCAGUUCAUAUUUCAGGCUUUGAACUGGGGUCUGCAAGUAGUCAGCCACUUCUGUAAUCAGACCAAAGCGUCACUCAUAACAUGGUCUAUAUCUCUGACCUGCCCCUCUCACAAGCUGUCACAUUUCUCUUGUUGCCUUUUCUCGGACCAUAUUUGUGAGGCCGUGUUAUUUUCCACUUUAUCAAGAAGCUCGUUUUCCAUGACAAGCUCUCUAUUUAGCAACUGAACGUGAAUCAACACCCUUUUCUAUGAUGAAAAUGCAAUGCAAUCACAAUCAAAACAAAAUGAAACAAGUCAGUAUACUUCAUACAAAGCUAGAAUUUUAAGCAAGCAAGAAGUAAUAAACAGAGUACCUAUUCGGGUGACCACUUCGGAUUUGGUGUAAUUCUACCUAGAGUAAGUUAUUAGGGCUCAUUAUAUGCGGUUCGGUUCAAAAGUAAGGGUACCUGAACCAGUAGAUUCCUCGAUCCUCACCCAUUAUAGGCUUAUACGGACCGAGUUCAGUUCAGGGGAAUACAUUUCCUUAUGGUUAUACGGAGAUGAAAAUCUCACAAAGACAUAGGUACGGAUGGAUCUCGAAAGCGAUCUACUAUCCUAAACGAAGGUGAAGACCUCAUGAAGGAAUAGUUUCUCACUCCCACUUAAAAGGGUAUAACCAACCGGUUAUGAAAUGCAAAAUGCGAAAGUAUAUCCAAAGACUCGAACCAAUAAAGCAAAUAUAUCAAAAUGAUGCAGACCAAUGAAAUGCAACAAAAGGGUCGUAAAUUUAAACCAGGUUAUCAAUUUUCGACAAAAAAGACAAGAAGUAACCAAUUUGUGGCUUGACUCUCUUAUUUUUCCUUAGUGGAGUCGCCAACCUAUCGAAACACCUUUUUUAAAAGGUCGACUUUAUAUUUUAAAAAUGGAAAUGGGGUCGCCACCAAUCUUUUUUUAUUUAGGUGUGACCGGAUCACCUCGUAAUUCAAUCAUUUUAAUAAAAGUUUAAAUUUACUAAAUGAUGAUUUUUGGUCUACAAAAUCUAGAAGACGAGUUCGGGAGUCUAUUAUGAAUGAUGAAGGAUUAGCACACUCGAUACGCCCAAAAUUGGUACCUAGUUGAUUACUUGGCAUCUUUAGUGUCGAAAAUUGAAAAUUUGAAGAGAUUUAAGAUACGAUCUUUUAUUAUUUAACACGAAAAUGUCUUCAUUUUUAGUUAAUUGAGAAAAAGGAUCAUAUCUCGUAAGUUAGGACACAAUGCCUUAAAUUCUCAAAACGAGAAUAAACAUGGAAAAAAAUUACUUUUUUUAAAAUAUUCAAUUAUCUCGGUUUUAGAAAGAAGCCAUAUUCCGUAAGUUAGGAACACUACUUUUCUUAAUUCUCGAAAAUAUGCUUUAAAAAAAUAUUCAGUUGUCUUGAUUCAAAGAGAAAGUCGAAUCCCGUAAGUUAGGGCACGACUUCUUAGAUUUCCAAAUAUGGAACAUUGCCUUAAUUUUGAAAAUUUCCUUUUUAUGUAUCAAGUAAAAAUUAAUGUGACAUGAAUUGAUUAUAAUAAUGGUAAUAAUAUUAAUAAUCAAAUCGCAAUAAUAAGAUAAAUAAAGUAACUUAAAAUAAAAAUGAAAAUAGAAAAUGUAGAAUUUAAAAAAGAUAAAUAAACAUAACAUGAAGAUAUUAGAAAUAAUAAAAGAAAUAAUAAAACAACAAGAACAACAAAAACAUUAGAAUUAAAAUAAUAACAACAAUAAUAAAAAUGCAUAAUUAAAAAAAAGUAUGAAUAAUCUAUUUUUUUUAAUGUAAAAGGAAGAAGAAAUAAUAAUAAAUAAAAUAAAAAGUUUGUGGAAAGGUUGAAAUAAAAUAGAUUUAAGGAUUAAAUCAAGAUUAAAGUGAACUUAAAAGCAAAAUUUUAAAUAAUAAAAUAUAAAAAUGUAAAAUUAUUUUAAAAAAUAAAAUAAAAUAAAAUAAGGACUGAAAUUGAAAGCCAAACAAAAUUUUAGGGGAGGAAUAGGUGAAGGACCUCAUCGUAAUGCACUAAUAAAAAGGAAGGACCAAAAUGGAAAAUAUUCCCUGUCUUUCAAAACGCACAGUUCCAAUAAGGACUAAAAUGAAACAAUGCAAAAAUCACAGGGUAAAAUUAAAAAGCAAAAAAAAACAUGAUUAAAUUGAAAAUGGGCAAAAAAGUGGAAGGGCCGACCAUACAAAUAACCCCAUAAGCUAGAAAACACGCGGAUACUAGCCAUGCGGAUCAGGUCUCGGGUCUGCCCCCAAAACAACGCCGUUUUGGCGUUAAAGGGCCUAAGUAAAACGGCAUCGUUUCACAACUGCUAUUUAAAUCAAAGUUUUUUUUUUAAAUUUUCAUUUUAACCUUGUUUAAAAAAAAACUCUAAAAGUUCAUUCCCCUUUCUCUCAAAGCCACUAGGUUCAGUCAUCAAACACCGCUGUGGCCACCGGCCGUCGGAGAUGGUGGCCGCCGUGGAGUUCACCAAAAACCCCCAUUUUGAGUGCUCCAACACGUAAAGCCCGGAUCUGGGGUUGUUUUUCGCAAAAACUCAACCAAAAAGAGAAAAAUCCAAAAGAAUCCCUUUGGUUUCUCUUUCGUUUUACCAAAGAGAACCGUCCAUCAUCGGGAACGAUGACCUCUUCCACUCGUAGCGGUGGGAUUCAGAACAUACUAGUAAGUUUUCUUCUUCUUUUUUGUAUUUUUAUGCCUAAAAAAUAAAAAUAAAAAAUAAAGAAACAAAUCACCUCUUGAAAAUAUGAUCAAUUUCUUCUCUGUAUUUUUUUGUAUCUUUUUGUCCAUAUUACAAUUUGGUGAAGGCUUUUAUAGCCAGUUUACAACUGUUUAGCCACUAUUUUCUGUUUGUUUCCUUUGCUCUGUUUUCUGUCUAUUUUCUUUGCAGGUACUAGGGUCAGCGGAGGCAGAUUUUGUCAUUCUGGUGCAAAGAGGUAGUCCUCGGGCUGUGGGCACGUUGACGGAGACGCGUGGAGUGCGGAGACCAAAAAGGAGCUAGGGUUAGGCUUUUUCGAAAAUGUUUAAACAUUUUGGGUCACUGGGACUUCAAUUUUUUUGGGUUGUAAUUUUAAUUAUUUUUUAGGCUUGUAAUUUGUAACUGGACAUUUAAGAUUUGGACUUUUUUUGUUUAUUUUCUAUUUUGGUUUUUUGGCGGGCCAGGCAAAUUUGGGCCUUUACAGUAUGCAUACAUAAUAUUUUCUUAAGUACGUCUCUCUGGCCCUUCUUUUGCUUAAUUUCGGAUUAUCAAACCACAAAUACUCUGAGAUGAGCUCAUAGGAUGGCCUUGUUACAUUCUUGGUACGGGUGAAUGCAAUUAGACAAUACAUGAAACUAAAUUCAUUCAUUCAAUUGUUUACGUAGCAUCUAGUGUUCAAAACCAACACAACAACUAGGAAAGGUGGUAAGUAAUAUGAUAUUUCUUAUCUUAAAUUAUAUUAUUUAUAUGUAUAUUUAAUUUAUUAUUGAUUUUGGUCAUAACUUGAGUUACGGACUUCCGUGUUGGACUUAUGAUAUACUGAUUCGAAGAAAAUUAAAAGAUCUAUCUAAAGUUAUUUUUACAGAAGAAGACGUUUAAAAAUGGUCUGAAAGUUUAAGGCGAAAAUAACUAAAAAACCUUAAAAAAAAACUCUACUUUAUUAAGGACACUUUUGUAUUUUCUACAUUAUAUGAUUUUGUUUUCAUUAUUUUAUGGUCUGGAAAUAAAUAACCAGGAUACUUUGGUCAAAAAUACCAACAAAUAAGAUAAAUGUUAUCAUAUUACCAGCUAUGUCUGUAGUUACUGUUGGCAUCGUAAUUGAUAGUUAAAACUGCCAUUAACAAAUAUAACUUAAUUUGUAAAAAGAAUAAUUUUUUAAGUCAUUUCUUGACUUAAUUAUUACCUGAUUAACUCAUAAUACUAAGUUAAUUAGAGAUCUCAUUACACCAAUUGAAUUAAAAUAAAACAAACAACUAAAUUUAUAUUAGUAAGAUUAUUUAGGUAAUUUAACCUUUUAAAAAAAAUAAAAUUUCACUCUAGAUUUAAACUUUGGCACCUCAAGAGCCAACUGUCUCAACCUUUUCAACACAAUUAAAAUAUAAUUAACAAAAUUAUUUAUUUUUUAUUAUUGAUAAUAUUACUCAUUUCCAAAAAAAAAAAAUUGCUUAAAUAUUUUUAUUCUUUUCACCCACACAACCGGAAAAAAAUUAAGUGGGUAGCAGAAUUCAAUUAUAGGGGAAGUAAAAUACAAAUUUACUAUUAUAUUAAUUUGUAAUUUUUUAAAGGAUUUGUAAAGUAAUUUUACAGUUUUUUGGGUAAGGCUAUUAUUUGCCUCUUAGAUAACUUUUAGGUUUAUUUUUAUUCAUGUCACAAGUUAAUUCAACAUUAAUUUAAUUAAAAAAAAAUUUAUAUCACAUAAUAUAUAAUAGAUUAAUAUUUUUUUAAAUUUCAGAAAUAUAGGUAAUUGGUAAUAAUUUUUAACUUACACGAAAUCUCGAUUAUAUAUGUACUUGUUUUUUGUUCUUCCCAAUUUUCCAUACCGACAAUAUAUUUUGUAUAUGUGCAAUACAUACGUUUGCUUCAAUCAAUGAUUUCUUGGUUUGCUUUCCUUCCCAAACUAACUAACUAAAAGCAAUAGGUAAAAAUAAGUCCCUAGACUCUUAAUAAAUUUAAAAUUUAGUCUCUAUUUUUUUAUUUUUAGAAAUUUAAUCACUCUAUUUUUUAGAUUUUAAAAUUUAGAUCUAAUUGCUAAUAGUGUUAAAAUUAUUUUGUUAAAUUUAGGUUCAUUAAAACGUCAUUUUUUAGUUAUAUUGUUACCAAGUGAGUAUUUUAUUUAAAAAAAUGUCACAACAAUAAAUUUAACAAAAAAUUAAUAGUGUUAACAAUUAGACCUGAAUUCUUGAAAUUAAAAAAGCAAAGAGACUAAAUUUUUAAAAAUAAAAAUAAAAUAAAUAAAGUCUAAAUUUAUGAAGAAUACAAGGAUCUAUGAGAUAUUUUAACCAAAGAAAAAAAAGAUUAUAAGAAGCAAAACAAAUAGAGAAAUAAAUAGUGGUCAUUGGGUUCUUAAUGUUUCGAGCAUUUCCGGUUAAUUAAAGAGUUGUUGAGAAAUUGACGAAUGUGCAAUUUCUUAUUUAAAAUAAAAAUCCUUAAAUUAAUAUAUAUACAUAUAUAUAUUGUAAAAUGGAUGUCUAUAUAACUUCCAUAACCUUUAAGAAUUUUUUUUUUCUUGUUACUCUUGCAACCCUAAAAAUUUAUAGGGUACCUUAAUUAUAUAUUUGUAACCUAUGGUGAUUGAGGCUCUAUAAAUAGAGGUAAUGUAUAAACGUUGUCAGUACGGUUUUAUUCGAGAGUAAUAUGUUCUUAGUUUGUGUCAAAAUUUUGUUAGAAUCUAAUUAAGUAUAUUGAAAUUUAAUUGUUUGGUUUAAGGAUCAUUAGAACCAUGGCUAUUUGAUAUUUGUUUGGGAAUGAUCUCUUUCUCUUCAUUACAAAGGAUGCUUAUAAUCACUACUACUUAUCCAUAGUAAUGUAAGAAGUUUAAUCAACUUCUUUUGGAAUUUGAUUUGAUUUCUGUUAAAAAUUUCAAUUUAUAUAAUUCUCUAUUCGUAUCUCUAUGAAUUUAUAAAACCUUUCACGUAUUUAGUUAUUGGGAUUUUUAUGUGGAGCUAAAUAUUUUUUAUUUUUUUGUUCAUUUUUAAUAGAAUUGAUUGGUUUAAUUUUAAUUUUGAUUAAGAUAUAUGAUUAUUGUGGAAUGGGGGUAAAAGUUUUAACUUGUUAUGAAUUUUGAGAUAUUCACCCUGUUUGGAUAUUUUCAUGAUUAUUGUAAAAUUUGAAAUAAAAUUAUGCCAUAAGAGGUGGAGGUUAGAAAAUGUUUAUAUUUAAACUUUUAUAGUUGUAAAUUUACUUUAAUCAGACAUUAUAAUAUUUUGUAUUCUGUUGCAUUAUGGUAUAUAAAAAAAUAUUAUCUAAUUAUGGUGAUUUAUUAGUAACAUGAAUUUAUUAUUUGUUAUGUUUAAUAUAUAUUUUUUAUACCUAUUCAUUUUAUUUUUUACAUGAAUAAAUAAAGUUUUUGAAUAUCAGAAAAUUUUAUCGUUUAUGUUGAAAAGAAGGACAAAAUUGUAUAUUAUUUAAAAUAAAAUUAAACAUUCAUUAAGGUUAUAUAAUAAAAUGAUUAGAUGCUUCUAAAGAGCAAAUAAUAUUGCAUCAAACUGUAAAAUGCUUUUUAAGAGCUAAUAUUUUACCUCUUUGUGAUGCAAAUUUUUUUAAAAUAUAAUAUUAUUUUUCAGAUUAAGAAGAUAUAUAUUGAAGGAAACAUUUAUGUGUUUUACAUUAAAAUCAUAUAUAGAAAUAACAUGAGAUACUUGUGUAUUUGUAUUAUAUAUAUUCCCCAGAGGAAUACAUUACACUUAUAUGAUUGAAAUAUAUAAUGUGCUCCUACAAUAACAAUAUUAUGAAAAAGACUUUAAAAAAUGUUUUGAAACGAUCUUAUACCUUCUAGUGGCUAAGUAAAAUAAUAAGUUAUUGAUAAAAAACCAUGAAAUUCUUCCCUUAGUUUUGCUCCAUUCCCCGAAGUAAAUGUAGUAGUACAUAACAAUUAUGAAAAAUGAAAACAUAGAGAUCGUGAUUUUCGUUGUAAUUGAGGAUGUGGUUGGAGUCGUACUAAUAACUAUUAUCAUGGUGGUUAUAAUAGUGGUACUUCUAACCACUAGAAAAAAGAAUACUAAUGAAAAACAAGAAAAUUGUGGUCAAAAUAUUUGAAGGUUAUUGAAAAUCCAUGUUACCAAUGUAGUAUGAAAAUGCGUUGGUCACAUACCUGUCCUACUUUUAAACAUCUAGUGAAAUUUUAUCAAAGAAUCCAUUAAAAAAAGAAGAGAAACAAUAUAGAGACAAACUUUGUUAUCCAAAAUGAUGAAAUGGAUAAUAAUUUUUCGACAAAAGAUGAAAAUUUUUAUUAUGAUGCUAAAGCUAACCAUGUAUACAAGGAUGAUGAUUUUAAAGGCCUUAAUGGUAUAACUCGUUUGUAUGUUUUUAAUUUUCAUUCAUAAGAAAUAGUUUUAUUUAUUUUUUAUGACUAUUUGUAAUAUUUUUUAAACAAUGUUUUCCUUUAAAGAAAAAUAUGAUUUUUUUUAUUCUUUCGUUAAACUCAAGAACAAAGACAUAUGUCACGUAGAUUUUGCUACAACAUAUUCCAUUUUUAAAGGUAAAAGGUUAUUCUCAUUUAAUAUCAUAUUAGCUAAAUACUAAACUAAAGUAAUAAAAGGCUCUAGAAGAGCUAUGAUAAUAUUAUUUCAGGGGUAAAAUAUAUUACAGGUGAUGCAUUGUUUUCAUCUAAGUCUCAAAUAAAUUUAGCUUUAUAGAUAUUCGCUGAAAUAGAUACCAUAUCAAGGAUAAAUGAGAAAAAAAUAUAUUGAGUAUCUAUAUAUUGAAUGUGAAAAGAAAUAUGAUUUGGGAAGACUACCUGUUUUUUCAUCAGGUUUAUAUUAUACACAUAUUAGUGAAAUUAAGACACAUGUUGCUAUAAACCAAAAGUUUGUAGAACCCCAUACUUUUAUUUUUGUCAUGAUUGGUUAGGUCAUCUCAGAUAAUAUAUGGUGAGAAAAUUAAUCAAGAAUUCAUAUGGAUUUUCAUUAAAGAACCAAAAGAUUCUUUAAUUUAAAAGAAUUCUCAUGUGUUGCUUGUUCUUAAUGAAAAUUGAUUAUUAAAAACUCAUUAGCUAAAGUUGAGAUUUAAUGUCUUGCAUUUCUUAAAUGAAUAUGGGCUCAUUCAUCCACCAUGUGGAUGGUUUUGAUAGUAUAUGAUUUUGGUAGAUGUAUCUACAAAAUAAUCACAUAUGUGAUAUCAACUCACAAACUAUAAUUUGCAAGAUUGCUUCUUUAAAUAAUUAAUUUCAUACAAUUCAUUUUGCUAAUGUUGGUGAGUUUAUGUCCCAAGUUUUCAAUGAUUAUUAUAUGUUGAUUAAGAUAAAAGUUGAACAUCCUGUAGCUUAUGUUCACGCAUAAAACGAUUUAGCUAAAUUGUUUAUUAAACGCCGCCAACUAAUAGCUAGGCCAUUACUUAUGAGAACAAAACUCCCUAUUACAACUUAGGGAUAUGCUAUUUUGCAUGCAGCAGUACUUGUGCGCAUCAAGCCAACAAAUUAUAAUAAAUACCCCCUAUUACAAUUGGCUUUUGGUCAUGAGCCAAAUAGUUCUCAUCUUAGAAUUUUUGAAUGUACGGUAUAUGUUUCAAUUGCUCCACCAAAACGCACAAAGAUGAUUGAGUCCUCAUAGAAGGUUGGGAAUGUACAUUGAUAUAAAUCUCCUUCUGUUAAUAAAUAUCUUUGAGAUAUUAAUUGGAGAUUUAGUUAUGACAUAAGUUGCCAAUUAUUAUGAGAUAGUUUUCCCAACAUUAGGGGGAGAGAGUAAAAAACUGGAUGAAAAAAAUACUUAGAAUGAAUUAUCAUUAUCUAAAAUCCUUGUAAAAAGCAAUGUGAACUAGAAGUUCAGUAGAUAAUUUAUUUUACAAAAAAGCUAUCAGAUUCAUUUACUUACCUAAAGAGAAUUACAAAAUCUCACAUACCAGCUGAAAAUGCUCCAAUACAAAUUGAUGUCCCAAUAGGGUAAACUGUUAGUGUAAAAGAAAGUAAUCCACGUCUAAAGCAAGAAAGAUCAGUCGAUUCCAAAGAUAAAAGUUCUCGUAAAAAGAAAGGAGAAAAUAUUCAAGAUGGUCAUAUUGUGAAGACAAGUGCCCAAUAAAAGGCUAAAGAUAUAACUAAUAAUAAUAACCCAAAAGAGAUUCAAGUACCUGAAAAUGGUGAUAACGAAGAGAUCUAGAUAAAUUAUAUUACUUCAAGAAAAAAAUAGAACUGAAAAUAUAUAGUUGUCGAUAACAAAUUUGCUUAUAAUGUUUCUAUUGAAAUAUCAAAAGAAAACCAGGAUCUUGAGCUUAGAUCAAUUGAGGAAUGUAGAAAUAAAAAAGAUUGGCCAAAAUAGAAAGACACAAUUCAAGUAGAAUUGAAUUCACUUUCUAAACGUGAGGUUUUUGGACAUGUAGUUCAAACACAUAAAGAUUUAAAUUUGGUAAGAUAUAAAUGACUAUUUGUGCGAAAACGAAAUGAGAAAAAUGAAGUUAUAAGAUAUAAAGCACAACUUAUAGCACAAUGAUUUUUACAAAAGGCUCAACUUGAUUACGAAGAGGCAUAUUCUCCUGUGGUGGAUACAAUCAUGUUUAGAUACCUUAUUAGUAUGGUAGCACGUGAAAAACUUGACAUGCGUCUAAUGGAUGUUGUUACAGCCUAUUUGUGUGGUACACUUAAUAAUGAAAUUUAUAUGAAAAUCCCUAAAGGAUUUAAAAUCCUAGAAAGAUAUAGAGUUUCUCAAAAAAAUUGUUCGAUCAGAUUAAAGAAAAAUUUAUAUGGAUUAAAAUAAUUUGGACGUAUGUGGUAAAAUAGUCUUAGUGAAUAUUUGUUAAAAAAAGGUUAUAAAAAUCGUCCAAUUUAUCCAUGUGUUUUUAUAAAAAUGUCCGGAUUAAAUUUUGUGAUAAUUGUUGUUUAUGUUGAUUAACUAAAUAUUAUUGGAACUCCUGAAUAGCUUUAAAAUGUAGUAAAUUAUUUAAAGAAAGAAUUUAAGAUGAAAGAUUUUGGAAAAACAAAGUUUUGUCUUUGCCUGCAGAUCGAGCAUUUAACAUAUGGAAUUCAUUUCCAUUAGUCCACUUAUACGAAAAAUAUCUUAAAGAAAUUUUACAUAGAUAAAGCACAUCUCUUGAAUACCCUGAUGGUUAUAUGAUCGUUAGAUGUGAAUAAAGAUAAAUUUUGUCCUUGUGAGAAUGAUGAAGAGCUUCUUAGUCUUGAAGCACCAUAUCUAAAUACCAUAAGGGUAUUGAUGUAUCUUGCAAACAACAGAAGACUUGAUAUUGCUUUCGUUGUAAGCUUGUUAGUAAGAUUUAGUUCUUCUCCAACACGUAGACAUUGGAAUGCGUCGACUCAAAGAUGUAAUGUGAUGUUGUCAUUUGGGAGAGUCAAAUACACGUUGCGCUCUUUUAUUUUAACUAAGGUUUUGCCCCAUUGGGUUUUUCUAAUAAAGGUUUUUAAUGAGACAAAUUGUAAUAAGAGAUUGUGUACUCUUUUUCCUUCAUUAGGUUUUUAUCUGACAGAAUUUUUCCUAAUAAGGUUUUAACGAGGCACACUUUCAUUGAUGGACAUUGAAGGAGGAGUGUUGUAAAAUGGAUGUCCAUAUAACUCCCAUAAUCCUCAAGAAUUCAUUUUCUUGUAAUCCUUAAAAAUUUAUAGGUUAUGUUAAUUGUAUGUUUGUAACCUAUGGUGAUUGAGGCGCUAUAAAUAGAGGAUAGUUAUAACCUUUUUUAAUAUGCCAAGUGAAAGUUGAAUCGUAAUUUCAUUUCUUUGUCUUUUUUUUCUCUCAAUCUUUGUAUUCUGUUUUUAGUUUUAUAAUAAUAUCUAUAUUUAUAAAUUUGCAUUUAAUGCAUUGAUAAUACAGAUAUAAAAAAAAUUCUUUAAAUAAUAAAAAUAUUAAUUAGCACCCACAAUUAAUAAAAUAUAAAUGAAGAAUGUUUAUAUGGUUUAGUUUUUUUUUUUAACUUUUUAAUUACCACACGUUUUUUUAAACUUUUGUAUUAUGAUAAAUUAUUAUUUAUAAAUUAAAAUAUUUUUAAUACAAAUACAAUUUAUGAAUAAUGUAAAUAAUAACUAGAGUAUUAAGAUGUUAAAAUUGUAGUAGGGUAGGGUUACAAUUUUUAGCAUUGAUGGUUGGUUAAUAUAUAUUAUUUAAAAGUGCAUAUCCUUUUAUGUUAAUGUUUUGUAUUAAAAAUGUUGGCACAAACUUUGCAUGAACUGAUUGGAAAGGGAAGAAGGUAGUACCAUAUAAUGCUCUACUCUCUUUAUAUUAAUACAUUUCGUAUUUUAUAGACCGAUGCUCAACUUUUCUUUUAAUUAAAACAAUGUAAUGUCUAAUUUUUUUCAAUUUAGUACUUUUUUUAAUUAUUGUUUUAUGUGUAUGUAUAUCAAAGUAAUUUUUUUUAUGAAAUCUAAUAACCCUAAUUUCCAAUAAUACUAUUACAUAGACAAACUUAUAAAAAGAAAUAAUCAUGGAGGUUGAAAAUGAAGGCUAACUGAUUGGGGGUGAGUUAGUUGGGGCGAGCUGUUUGCAUGGGAGAGAGAUAAAAAAAAACAGUAGAUAUGGAAUAUAUUUAAUCACGAAUAAUACAUGUCGGAAUAAUUACUAUUAGAAUUAAUUUAAUAUAAAGAUUUGUUGAAAUUUUAAAUAUUAAAAAUUAUUAAAUGAUGUUUUUAAAAAAAUUAAUAACGAUUAAUUAAUUAAAUUAAACUCAAAUGUUUUCUAGUUAAGUAAAAAAUGAUAUAUUAAAGGGGGAAAAAUUUGACAGUUACAAGGAGAGACUUGCUGAAAUCCAUUGAUAACUAAACUAACAAACUAGAGUCGGGCACGAUAUAUCCCACAAGGCUGGCUGGCUGACAGGCAGGCAGUCAGGCACGCAGGAAACAAUCAAAGCCAUCCAUCCUCUCUCUUCCUUUCUCCCUCUUUCACUAUCAUUACCACCCAUUUUUGAACCCAUUUCUUCCCUUUCAAAGGUUUGUAUCUAUUCUGCAGCAAUCCAACAUAUACAAUGUUUCUUCUUUUCUUCUUAUACUAAUUCAUCUUGUUUUCUAAAGGGAUACUUUGAUACCAGAAAGAAGAACAACAAUGAAGGUGUACGAGGAGAGUGGUUGCUUUGAUCCUCACUCCAUCCCAGAUUGUCAGGAACUGAUGGGGUUGCCAGGGCCCACCCCCACCAACUGUCACAACAGUUUGGAAGACACCCUUAAUGUCUCUUCUUACAAUCACCAUCACCAUGAGGAUGCCUCCGCCGCCUUGGAUAUGGAACCCCACCAACACUACUUGCUUGAUAAUACUACCAACAGUCAUUCCCAUUUGAUUCCCUAUCUAACUCAGGACCUUCCUUAUGAUCAGUCCCAUUGGGAAAGUUUCAAUGUGCUGCCAUCUUCUUCAUCCCCAGAAGCUGAUGCUGCCGCCACCGCUGCCGCCGGUGCUUACACUACUACACCUGACCUUCUCAGCCUUUUCCAUUUACCUAGAUGCUCUUUCCUCCCUAAUCCCUCCAUUUCCUUUGAAACCACACCUGGCUCCCCUUCUGUUGUGUACGACCCACUUUUCCAUCUCAACCUGCCUCCUCAACCCCCUGUUUUCAGGG
rnacentral:lncRNA from 1 species